rnacentral:rRNA from 1 species
UACGUAGGGGGCUAGCGUUGUCCGGAAUCAUUGGGCGUAAAGCGCGCGUAGGCGGUCAGGUAAGUCCGGUGUGAAAGUCAAAGGCUCAACCUUUGAAUGCCGCUGGAUACUGCCUGACUUGAGUCCGGAAGGGGCGAGUGGAAUUCCUGGGUGUAGCGGUGAAAUGCGCAGAUAUCAGGAGGAACACCGGUGGCGAAGGC